rnacentral:lncRNA from 1 species
UUUUGUUUUGUGGAUAAAUUUCCUUUCAUUUGUCAAAGCUAUUUUUAUUACUUUGGAAAAGCAUGUUCUAAGUGAAGUUGGUUUUCUAGCUGGAAAAAUUAUAUUUACCGUUUAUUGAUCUGUGUCAGCCUUAGAAAGCACCAUUUUAUUUUGUAUUAGUUCAGUUCUGUGAGUAGUGGGUCUCAUUGAUGGGAAGUGGGGAGCCAAACAAGAAAUGUUUUUGAAAGGGAGUACACAGAUUUGUGUGUUAGAUGGUUAUCUAUUAAGAUUAGUAGGAUUCUAUUAAUGUUUCAUGGAGAGGUGGGGGAAAGAUUGCUACACCAGCUACCACUGAAUAAACAAUAAGAUAAUCUGCACCCCAAGGGUGUUACGGACACCUGAAACUUCUGCUGAAGUGGCUAAUUAAAUAAUGAAGUUGUAAAAAUACAGCUAAUGGCUGGAAAAGUAAAAGUAGCAGUUACUAGGAGGUGUUCCUCUGCUAUUAACUAGUGGAUUUCCUUAACAAUUGAGUUGAUUUCUUCAAACAGAAGUACUUUGGAAACUGAUCCUGUGCACAGACUAUGAGGGUUUCUGCACAAACAACUUCAAUAUUCUAUUGAGGACAAGAAAUGCUUUGCUAUACCUUUUAGAGUUAGAAGAUUUGAACAGCAGUAAUUGCAUGGCCUUUCAUAAAAAACUGCCAACUUAGGGGAACACAAAAUUUUACACAAGAAAUCCAUUGCAUUCUGUUUGCUAUUCAUCACUCCACUAGAAGCAUCAAUAUUGCAGAACCAAGUAACAGUUUUCACUUUGGUUUGUCUUCCUGAGUGCAAUUGGUGGGGAGUGGGGGUGCACCUCAUACAAAUUAAUACGUGAGUCAAGCUAGUAUAAACAGUAGUUGGAGUCUUAGAUUAAGUAAAAAGGGUGUAAAACAGAAUUUGAUGCUGGGAGUCCUUAACUGCACUUCUAAAUUUCCAGGUAUUUUUGUACUUCUGAAUUUCUCAAUGGUUUUACUUCCUGGUUUUUAUUUUUAGCUGGCUUUGUUAUUUCAUGUUUAUCUUAUGCAGUAGUUCUCCAGCUAGUCUAAAUCUGUUUGCUCAUGAUCCUUGGAGAGAUGGCUGGACACAUGAUAUAGAUUCUCCAAAUUUAGUAGCAGUAAAUUUAAGUGAUCAGCAGUCAUCUGCUUUACUUUAGUUAUUAAUACUUCACAUUGAAAAAAAAUUUACUUCUCUCAGUCUUUUGCCAUAGUUAUAUGGGGAGUAUUGUUAAUAUAAUCACGAAAUAAUGAACACACUUUUUUUUUAAAUGUCAAAGUUUGUGCUACCAAAACUCUAAAUUAGUGCUAGUUAUCUCUGUUCAAAUAUUCAUCUUUUUGUUCAGAGAAUUAUUUAAAGCAUUAAUUCUGAUUUUUUUUUCACACAUCUUUAUCAUCAUCUUAGAAAUAUACAGCUGCUUGCUAGAAAGUAUGGGAGGACCUAUUAUACAUGGACUGUGUAUAUAAGCUUGGUCCUGGAUUACUGCAUCUCUUUGAGAACUGCAGUCUUAAACAGCUAUUUAAAAAUCUUGCUGUUACUUCAGGAGAAGAGCAAUCAAGUUUCUGCAGGGGGGAGACCAGCUGUCAGAGCAUACGUUUACAGUAUAGGUUUAUUUUGACUUUGCACUCCUCUUUAAUUCACCAUGGAAAAUCUUUCAUUGAGAUGAUUGAAAUUGCUGCAGUGAGAAUGGAAAUUACUUUGGCUCCUUUCCUUUUAAAAGCUGCAUGCGAGAACUGUGUGCAGGCAUUUGGAAACAUUGCUGAGAUCACACAAACACAAGCCCUUUCUUCUCCAGUCUGGAGUCUCAGCUCACUCAGCCUGUCUUCAUGUGAAAGAUUCUUCAGUUCUCUCAUCGUCUUUGUGGAAGUAAAUAAAAUGCUUCAUCUAAUAAGGGGAAUUAGAAUUCAAAGGAGGAAAUGCUUUUUUUGGGGGGGGAGGGGGAAACAAAGCAACAGCUAUUAACUGUAAAAAGAACAAGAAGAUCACAAAAUGAAACAUUAAGAAGUUAUCUAACUCCUGCUUUAAGAUUCUGCAAUCUUCAUUUGCCCCCUUGUGUCAGUAUACUAUGAAGCAAUCUUCAUGAUCACACGGAAUGUUUAAAUCUAUUGAUAGGGUCUGCCUGUGGUGCUGGGCUGGGGAGGAUGUUUGUGGCCUGUGCAAGCAAGAAGCCUGAUGUUGCUAUAGGUGCUGCAGAAAUUAGUAAAAAAUUCUCUAGGCAAUGGAACAAAUGGCUGCAAGUAGAGAAGACAAUGUCUUCAUGGUUAUGUCAAGUGAGAAUUCCUAAGAACUGGAUGUGAUGUUUAUUUUUCUGCCUGUAUUCUUGCAUGAUGCUGGGCAAGUAACCAGGCCAUUGUUUCUGUAGCGUGUACAUUGCGCUUUGCUUUAGAGGUGUCUUGAUUUAAGACUCGCGUCUGAAAGAAACACCGGUGGUUCACAUUGGUAGCUGAGCUUCUUAGGAGUUGUCAUUUGAAUUAAAAUACUCUGAAGUUAUGUCUGCUGACAGUCUCCUAUCUUCUUAAAGAGAACUUCAAACUGUAGCAUACUAUGAUAGCUUCUACACGUUCAUGUCACAUUUAAAGUAGGGGUAAAUGGACACAGCCCUUGAAGGGCUGUUAGCUACUUUUGUUUAGUAGCUGUACUACAGUAAUGCAUUGCCUCAUGGAAUUUUCUAGGGCAUUUAUAAUUCUGAUUUCAGAGGAAGAGGUGAGUACUGCGCAUCUUUUAAAGAUCAGAUCUGCAAUAAACUUUCCUUGUUACCAGCUCAGGCUGGGAAGCAGAGUUUCUGUGCUGUUUAUUCAUGGCCUGUUUCUGCAGUCCUGUGAACUCCAAAAUUCUCUGAUUUGUGUCCUGUCUUGUCACUGAUUCAUUUUGCGAAUAUAACUCAUUAUUACACCUGUGUGUGCCAUUUUUUUGCUUAUCAUUUUUGUAGGCAACAUCGUCAACAUUGUGCAAAAUCUUCUAUGUAGUAAAGGUAAUGCACAUGUUUGAACUUCAGCAUAUUUGACAAUAAAUUUACCUGUGAAGAUCUAUUUUACAGAAAGAAUGAGCUAUUUAAAUUGUAACAAUUUCUUAAUGUACAGUGGUAAGCACUGCAUCUCUAAAAAUGUAAAGUAACUUAUACCUAAGUAUUUAGGACUUCUACUGCCAUUUUCUUCAAAUUUCAAAGGCAGUUUUCUUGGUACUGCCUACAGCAAAUUGCUAAAUGAGCGUGGUCUGUACUAGAAAUUUGGAUACAGUGAUCUGAAAAUGUUUCAGCUUUUGCCUUAGUCAUGAUAUCUUAAGUAUAGGGGAAGGUCUCUUCUAAUCAGGUAGCCACAUUAGCAGUAAUGGUUGGAUUUGAAGUGUUUAGACUCUCUUUAUCUUUAUCACAACCUAUUGUCACAGAAGUCACAAGAAAUGCUAGAAAUAUACCCAAAGUGGUGAGCUGCUAUUGUACCAGUUUAACAGCAGCAACAAUUCUUCAUAUAAAAAACAAACAAAACAUUUAAAAUGUAUUUGAAGGAAAACUUAUGUCUGAGAUGUAUGCAAAUCUCCUUUCUAAGGUGGCAGUUGUAAUUGUAUCGCAAUAAAAUAUUUAACUAUUAAGAGAAAUAAAAAAAAAAUGGAAAAA